rnacentral:rRNA from 1 species
CCUACGGGAGGCAGCAGUGAGGAAUAUUGGUCAAUGGGCGAUAGCCUGAACCAGCCAAGUAGCGUGAAGGAUGACUGCCCUAUGGGUUGUAAACUUCUUUUAUAAGGGAAUAAAAUGCAGUAUGUAUACUGCUUUGCAUGUACCUUAUGAAUAAGGAUCGGCUAACUCCGUGCCAGCAGACGCGGUAAUACGGAGGAUCCGAGCGUUAUCCGGAUUUAUUGGGUUUAAAGGGAGCGUAGGUGGGUUGUUAAGUCAGUUGUGAAAGUUUGCGGCUCAACCGUAAAAUUGCAGUUGAUACUGGCAGUCUUGAGUACAGUAGAGGUAGGCGGAAUUCGUGGUGUAGCGGUGAAAUGCUUAGAUAUCACGAAGAACUCCGAUUGCGAAGGCAGCAUACUGGACUGUAACUGACGCUGAUGCUCGAAAGUGUGGGUAUCAAACAGGAUUAGAUACCCUAGUAGUC